rnacentral:rRNA from 1 species
GACGAACGCUGGCGGCGUGCUUAACACAUGCAAGUCGAACGGAAAGGCCCUGCUUUUGUGGGGUGCUCGAGUGGCGAACGGGUGAGUAGCACGUGAGUAACCUGCCCUUGACUUUGGGAUAACUUCAGGAAACUGGGGCUAAUACCGGAUAGGAGCUCCUGCUGCAUGGUGGGGGUUGGAAAGUUUCGGCGGUUGGGGAUGGACUCGCGGCUUAUCAGCUUGUUGGUGGGGUAGUGGCUUACCAAGGCUUUGACGGGUAGCCGGCCUGGGAGGGUGACCGGCCACAUUGGGACUGAGAUACGGCCCAGACUCCUACGGGAGGCAGCAGUGGGGAAUAUUGCACAAUGGGGGGAAGCCUGAUGCAGCAACGCCGCGUGCGGGAUGACGGCCUUCGGGUUGUAAACCGCUUUCGCCUGUGACGAAGCGUGAGUGACGGUAAUGGGUAAAGAAGCACCGGCUAACUACGUG